AGUUAAAAGAACAUAUGUACAUGUAUAUCCCCAGAGCAGACUGCAAACAUGUUUUUAGAAGUACACAAGAAGACAUCUAUUUCAUAGGUCAAACCAAAGGAAUCUGGCUUUUAUUGUUAAAGGACUCGAGGGAACACAUGUACUGCUGUCGGCUUCUCUCCACACCCACUCUGUGAGAUGACUACAGAAUCAUUUUAUUGAAGAAUGAAGACUACAUAAUUCAAGCAAUGGGGUCAAAAGCCUGAUGUCUACAGGGAAAGUGCAUUGGUUUUACUUCAGCUGCAUUUUAAAUCUUGGCUUUAAAGCCUGGUUAAAUAAUUAGGUCAAAUCAGUGCAACAUUCCCAUGUAACUAUGGCCUUAAAAAAGGAUUUUGAAGAUAAAUAUCUCAGUUAAAUACUUAAGCUGCAGUCUGAAACCUAUUGAAGUCAAUGAGACAGGAGAGAAAGCUGCCAGCAAGACACACUCCGAAGUACCUUUCUGAAUCAGUGGCUUCAUUCUGUUCUAAGGAUCAAACCUCCAUUUCAGUGAUUCAUCUCAGGAUCAUGGUGCUUUCUUCUAUCUGUCAGCCACAAAGCCUACAAGACAGAGGACAGUGCUGUAAAGGCCUGGCUGCAGGAGAAUGCUGCAGGAAGCUGAAGAGAGCAGAUUUGCAGAUAUACAUUCCAUUACAAAGAUCCUGAGGAGUUUCAGCAGUUAGUGUCAACUUUUCACUGCACCAGACUAAAAGAACAGACAAAAAUGGAAAUCUUCUAUAGUGCAACAAGCUCUGCUCAAAGCUCAUCCAGCAGCCAGUUCAGUACCUUGGCAUUUGUUAAAAGCUUUUGCCCCUUCUUUAAUACAUGUUCCCUGAGACACCACUGAAAAGCCACGAGAGCUCCUGGAGCUUGGUGAUGUAUGCUGGGGUGGCCACUGGUCCAUCACUGG